rnacentral:rRNA from 1 species
UACGUAGGGGGCAAGCGUUGUCCGGAUUUACUGGGCGUAAAGAGCGCGUAGGCGGAAGCGCCAGUCCGGCCUGAAAGCCCCCGGCUCAACCGGGGAGAGUGGCUGGAAACUGCGUUUCUUGAGGGCGAGAGGGGAGGGUGGAAUUCCUGGUGUAGCGGUGAAAUGCGUAGAGAUCAGGAGGAACACCCGGGGCGAAGGCGGCCCUCUGGCUCGACCCUGACGCUGAGGCGCGAAAGCGUGGGGAGCGAACGGG